UACGUAGGGCGCAAGCGUUGUCCGGAAUUAUUGGGCGUAAAGAGCUCGUAGGUGGUUUGUCGCGUUGUUCGUGAAAACUCACAGCUUAACUGUGGGCGUGCGGGCGAUACGGGCAGACUGGAGUACUGCAGGGGAGACUGGAAUUCCUGGUGUAGCGGUGAAAUGCGCAGAUAUCAGGAGGAACACCGGUGGCGAAGGCGGGUCUCUGGGCCGAAACUGACGCUGAGGAGCGAAAGCGUGGGGAGCAAACAGG
rnacentral:rRNA from 1 species